rnacentral:rRNA from 1 species
AGUGAACGCUGGCGGUAGGCCUAACACAUGCAAGUCGAACGGCAGCACAGUAAGAGCUUGCUCUUACGGGUGGCGAGUGGCGGACGGGUGAGGAAUACAUCGGAAUCUACUUUUUCGUGGGGGAUAACGUAGGGAAACUUACGCUAAUACCGCAUACGACCUACGGGUGAAAGCAGGGGAUCUUCGGACCUUGCGCGAUUGAAUGAGCCGAUGUCGGAUUAGCUAGUGGGCGGGGUAAAGGACCACCAAGGCGACGAUCCGUAGCUGGUCUGAGAGGAUGAUCAGCCACACUGGACCUGUGACACGGUCCAGACUCCUCCGGGAGGCCGCAGUGGGGAAUAUUCGACCAUGCGCGCAAGCCUGCUCCAGCCAUACCGCGUGGGUGAAGAAGGCCUUCGGGUUGUAAAGCCCUUUUGUUGGGAAAGAAACGCAGCAGGUUAAUACCCCGCUGUUCUGACGGUACCCAAAGAAUAAGCCCCGGCUAACUUCGUG